rnacentral:tRNA from 8 species
GGUGGGGUUCCCGAGCGGCCAAAGGGAACAGACUGUAAAUCUGUCGGCGAAGCCUUCGGAGGUUCGAAUCCUCCCCCCACCACCA